AUACGUAGGGUGCAAGCGUUAAUCGGAAUUACUGGGCGUAAAGCGUGCGCAGGCGGUUUUGUAAGACAGAGGUGAAAUCCCCCGGCUCAACCUGGGAAACGCCUUUUGGACUGCAAAGCUCGAGUACAGCAGAUGGGGAUGGAAUUCCGCGGUUACGAGUGAAAUGCGUAGAUAUGCGGAGGAACACCGAUGGCGAAGGCAAUCCCCUGGGCCUGUACUGACGCUCAUGCACGAAAGCGUGGGGAGCAAACAGGAUUAGAUACCCUGGUAGUCCACGCCCUAAACGAUGUCAACUGGUUGUUGGGUCUUCAUUGACUCAGUAACGAAGCUAACGCGUGAAGUUGACCGCCUGGGGAGUACGGCCGCAAGGUUGAAACUCAAAUGAAUUGACGGGG
rnacentral:rRNA from 1 species